rnacentral:tRNA from 5 species
GGGCCUAUAGCUCAGCUGGCAGAGCACCGGACUUUUAAUCCGUUGGUCCCGGGUUCGAUCCCCGGUGGGCCCA